GUCUGACGACGCAAAAGCUGUUGUGCCAGUGCCGUGACUACAUGCCGUACAACUUGCCGGACCAGCCCGGACCAGGACCAUGCCGAAAUUGGUGCCUCAUGUCAAGCACACAAAAGAAAAGGCGAGGCAGCAUUUGCAGCACAUCCCUUCAUGAUGGCAUGCCACAUUGAGGGCCUACAUUGAGGGUCACCAGACUGACCUUCUAAAAGAAGCAAAGCUAGAACUAGUCAGGUGAAUCUUUGGAGAUUUGGUUUUGGAGAUGUGGCCCAGCAAGGCAAAAACAGAAAAGUGAUACAAUAAAGAAAAUAAAUCUG